rnacentral:rRNA from 1 species
GACGUAGGGUGCGAGCGUUGUCCGGAUUUACUGGGCGUAAAGAGCGCGCAGGCGGUCGAUCAAGUCGAGUGUGAAAGCCCCCGGCUCAACUGGGGAGGGUCAUUCGAUACUGAUCGACUCGAAGGCAGGAGAGGGUAGUGGAAUUCCCGGUGUAGUGGUGAAAUGCGUAGAUAUCGGGAGGAACACCAGUGGCGAAGGCGACUACCUGGCCUGUUCUUGACGCUGAGGCGCGAAAGCUAGGGGAGCAAACGGG